UUACGAACACGAAAUUACAGUUUUGUA
rnacentral:piRNA from 1 species